GACGAAUGCUGGCUGCGUGCUUAACACAUGCAAGUCGAGGGGUAGAACACUUCGGUGUUUGAGACCGGCGCACGGGUGCGUAACGCGUAUGCAAUCUACCUUGUACAGGGGAAUAGCCCAGAGAAAUUUGGAUUAAUGCCCCAUAGUAUAUAACCUUCGCAUGUUGGUUAUAUUAAAGUUCCAACGGUACAAGAUGAGCAUGCGUCCCAUUAGUUAGUUGGUAAGGUAACGGCUUACCAAGACGAUGAUGGGUAGGGGUCCUGCGAGGGAGACCCCCCAAACGGGAACUGAGACACGGCCCAGACUCCUACGGGAGGCAGCAGUGAGGAAUAUUGGUCAAUGGGCGCAAGCCUGAACCAGCCAUGCCGCGUGCAGGAAGACGGUCCUAUGGAUUGUAAACUGCUUUUAUACAGGAAGAAACAACUCUACGUGUAGAGUCUUGACGGUACUGUAGGAAUAAGGAUCGGCUAACUCCGUGCCAGCAGCCGCCGUAAGAC
rnacentral:rRNA from 1 species